rnacentral:rRNA from 1 species
AGCAGCCGUGGUAAUUCCAGCUCCAAUAGCGUAUAUUAAAGUUGUUGCAGUUAAAAAGCUCGUAGUUGAAUUUCGGGAUCAAUGCGUCGGUCGUGCUUUCGGGUACGUACUGGUGUCAUUGGUUUCUCCUUUCUGACGAGCCGUGAUGUCAUUAAUUUGGUGUUACGGGUAGUUAGGACUGUUACUUUGAAAAAAUUAGAGUGUUUAAAGCAAGCUAACGCUUGAAUACAUUAGCAUGGAAUAAUGAAAUAGGACGUUCGAUCCUAUUUUGUUGGUUUCUAGGAUUGACGUAAUGAUUAAUAGGGAUAGUUGGGGGUAUUAGUAUUCAAUUGUCAGAGGUGAAAUUCUUGGAUUUAUUGAAGACUAACUACUGCGAAAGCAUUUGCCAAGGAUGUUUUCAUUAAUCAAGAACGAAAGUUAGGGGAUCGAAGACGAUCAGAUACCGUCGUAGUCUUAACCAUAAACUAUGCCGACUAGGGAUCGGAUGAUGUUAAUUUUUUAAUGACUCAUUCGGCGCCUU